AGCUUGCAAAAGAUGCGUAUACACCUGAUCUGAUUGCAGCAUCUGACUGCAUGCUGGGAAAAAUUGGAUAUGGUACUUGCAGUGAAGCCCUUGCGUACAAGUUACCAUUUGUCUUUGUACGAAGAGAUUAUUUCAAUGAAGAACCCUUUUUGAGAAAUAUGCUUGAGUAUUAUCAGAGUGGUGUUGAGAUGAUUAGGAGAGAUUUACUUACUGGUCAUUGGAAACCUUACCUUGAACGUGCAGUUAGUUUGAAACCAUGUUACGAGGGUGGCGUAAAUGGUGGCGAGGUGGCAGCUCAUAUAUUACAGGAGACUGCUAUUGGGAAAAACUAUACUUCCGAUAAGUUAAGUGGGUCAAGGAGAUUGCGGGAUGCCAUAGUUCUUGGGUAUCAAUUACAGAGGGUGGCUGGACGAGAUAUCAGCAUUCCAGAAUGGUAUGCAAAUGCUGAAAAUGAACUUAGCAAGUCUACUGGGUCACCAGUUGCACAUACAAAUGAGGAUGGACUACCAACAAGCGCUUGGACUGGAGAUUUUGAGAUUCUUCAUGGAGAUCUUCAAGGUCUUUCAGAUACCACGAGUUUCUUAAAGAGUUUAUUAGAGCUAGAUUCUGUAUAUGACUCUGAAAAGAAUACUGAGAAGCUCCAGAUGCGGGAGCAUAAGGCUGCUGCAGGACUCUUUAAUUGGGAGGAACAUAUUUUUGUAACAAGAGCACCUGGCAGGCUGGAUGUAAUGGGAGGGAUUGCUGAUUAUUCAGGAAGUCUUGUCUUGCAGAUGCCCAUAAGAGAAGCUUGCCAUGUUGCUGUUCAAAGGAAUCAUCCAAGCAAACACAGGCUUUGGAAACAUGCUGAGGCUCGGCAAAAUGCAAAAGGACAAGGACCCACUCCUGUUCUGCAAAUUGUAUCUUAUGGUUCAGAGUUAAGCAAUCGUGGCCCAACUUUUGACAUGGAUUUAUCUGAUUUUAUGGAGGGCAACCAGCCAAUUUCAUAUGAGAAGGCAAGGAAAUAUUUUGCCCAAGACCCAUCACAAAAGUGGGCGGCUUAUGUUGCAGGGUCAAUUCUUGUUUUGAUGAGAGAACUAGGUGUACGCUUUGAGGAUAGUAUUAGCAUGCUGGUUUCUUCUGCAGUUCCAGAAGGCAAAGGUGUAUCUUCUUCUGCCUCUGUGGAGGUUGCUAGCAUGUCUGCUGUGGCUGCUGCUCAUGGAUUAAACAUAAGCCCAAGGGAUAUGGCAUUGCUUUGCCAGAAGGUGGAGAAUCACAUUGUUGGAGCUCCAUGUGGUGUAAUGGAUCAGAUGACUUCAGUAUGUGGUGAAGCCAACAAACUUCUUGCAAUGGUGUGCCAGCCUGCUGAAGUAAUUGGUCUUGUGGAAAUUCCUAGCCAUAUUCGAUUCUGGGGGAUUGAUUCAGGGAUACGACACAGCGUUGGCGGUGCAGACUAUGGAUCUGUAAGAAUUGGUGCCUUCAUGGGUCGAAAGAUGAUAAAGUCAAUGGCAUCUGCUAUUUUGUCUAGGUCAUUGCCCAGCAUUAAUGGAUCAAUCCUUGAUGAAUUGGAGGACUAUGGUUCUGAACUACUGAAAAAUGAAUCUUCCUUAGAUUACUUAUGCAACUUGUCACCACACAGAUAUGAAGCUCUUUACCAUAAAAUGCUUCCUGAAUCCAUUCAUGGUGAGGCAUUUUUGGAGAAGUAUGCUGAUCACAAUGAUGCUGUAACAGUAAUUGAUCAGAAGCGCACUUACAUGGUGAGAGCACCUGCUAAACAUCCUAUCUAUGAAAACUUCCGGGUCAAGGCUUUCAAAGCAUUGCUAUCAUCUGCAACUUCAGAUGAGCAACUUACUGCUCUUGGUGAAUUGCUGUAUCAGUGUCAUUACAGCUAUAGUGCGUGUGGACUUGGCACUGAUGGGACGGAUAGGCUUGUGCACUUGGUACAAGAAAAGCAACAUAGUAAAUCCUCUAAAUCUCAUGAUGGGACACUCUAUGGAGCAAAAAUAACUGGUGGGGGAUCAGGCGGAACAGUUUGUGUGAUUGGUAGGAACUGUCUAAGGAGCAGCCAACAAAUUAUUGAGAUUCAGCAGAAGUACAAAGGCGCAACGGGCUAUUUGCCAUUUAUUUUUGAGGGCUCAUCGCCAGGGGCAGCAAAGUUUGGAUAUCUGAGAAUUCGCCGGCGCCUCUCAUUUUGUUAAAUUAGAAUUUGUGGUUUCCCAACUUAGGUAUUUCUCCGGUUACUUUGAACGGACUUGAAUAAUAAUUGUGUCUUGAAAUGUGAUGAUUUUUGCCAAUAGCUUGACAAUUUCUAGACCUAAAGCGUAGGAAAAGUAGAUUGUUAUUUAGCCACAAUAAUUGAAUUCA
rnacentral:misc_RNA from 1 species